UCUUUGGGGAUAGCAGAUGAGAGAUUUCUAUGGGUGGCACAGUAGCAAAACAGAGCAUGUAAACAAAGCUCAAACCAAAUAAACAAAAAUACACCCAGUGCUAAGGGCUGUCUAAAGGUAGAUGACUAAUGACAGGCAUUUGUGAGGCUUUUCAAAUGCUUGCAACCUAUGAACUACCUAUCAUGAGCAAACCUCUACUCAGUGCACAAUCUCAAAUCAAGACCUCAGAGCCUCUGUAGCACAGCUCAGCAUGAUGAGUUCUUCAUCACUGAACACUUUUCAAGUGUUAUUUCAUCCUCUGCUGUAUGCAUAAGGUCAAUCCCGACUGCCAAACUAGCCAGCUGUCUGGAAGAAGGAAAUAUUCAGUUUCUUUGGCUGCAGCCAUGCAGGAGGAUAAACUUAAGACUACAACAGAGGUUCAUUUUUGCCCCAGAGAAGGAAAGCACACAUGAGGCUACCUCACAGCACAUCUUUCCCUGCCUCAGGCAUUAUGUUCCACAUGGUGGGUAUAACGAAGUAUUUUAAUAUAUCAUAGAUAGGGAAGGUAAACUCUCACCUGUGGAACAAUGUGGUGUUACAAUUGGUAAAUUCGACUUGCUCUCAUACAUUCAUAUCUGCUAUUUACAAUUUAUUCCAUCUUUAAUUUACAAGGCAACCUAUCUGCAAAGAUACAUGUAUGUCUUGUACAUAAACCUUACCAGGGAAUCUCGUGGGAUUAUUCUUACACAGAAAAGUGGCUGCCCUCUUCCCCCAGUGCUGAGGGCUGUGCUGGAUUUGAACCUCAUUGUACUGCUGGUACUCUAGCUCUCUUGCUGUGUAUUGUAAAAUUCUCUUCAUUUCAUGCAUGGAUUGCUGUAGAAAGCAGAGAUAACAUUUCAAGUUCCUUUGUUUAACCCAUACAAAAUAAUUAAAACACAUUUUUCAUCUUAGCAUCCCCUUAGGGUUUAACAUAUCGUGAGAAACACUUCCUAAUGUGAAAUGAGCUUCAAGACAAAUGGUCCUGGCUUUAGUUUGAAAGUCACCUCUGGAAAGAAUGCAUUUGUUUUCUUAUUCAUGCCACUCUAUUUCUUUUAAAAUUCUGACACGUUAAGAUAAAAUUGUCACAUCCAAACCUACUCUUUAAAUAUAAAACUGUCCACUUUUAUACAGGUACAAAAGCCCCUUCAGGGCUAGUCUGCCUUUUUGCAGGCUUCCUUCCUUUGGGAAGAAGUGCCUCAGCCCUCCCACACUGCGCUUUGCUGGCAGAGCUGCGAUCCUCCGGGGCAAUGACAAAUUGUUCUCCCCAGCUUUGUACUUUUCUCUUGGCACAUGCCUGAAGGUGAACGCAGAGCUCUUAUGGUCUCAUCUGUGUCCCCCAGAAACCACAGCCAGCAGUGGGCAUGUCAGGCUUGCCUUCCCUGAGCAAGCUUGCCCAAGGGGUGGCUUGAAUAAUUUGUCAUUUCCACGCUGUCUGGCAUCACCGCAAUUAUCCAACACUUACAAAGAAAGAGGGUACCAGGAAAUAAAGCACAAGUAAUAAUCAGAAAUCUCUUUAACACCUAAAAAGAUGCAGACUGGCUUUCUAACGCAUGGCUGUACUUUACGUCACAAGCAUUUUCCCUGGGUUAUUAUUCAUUCUGCCAAGCAUUAUUCAAUGUAAGCAAAAGCAUUGCUGCUGAGCCCUGAAAAACGAAUGGAUGCUCCCCCAAGUCAGGAAAGACAAGGUGUUUCCAUGCAAAAUGUUACAGCUAGUUAAUGAAGCAGCACAUUAAUUUUGAUGUACAACCAUAAAGUUCCCUAGAAAGCAAUUUUUAUCUGUAUUAUGUUCUCACAUCUCAAAGAAACUUAGAUUCCAAACAAGGUGUCAUUUGCUCUUAUAGUAUGGAAUAGGGCUGUACUUCCCAAAAAACUCAGGAAAGGCCUGUGGUAUGUCUUUCAAUAAGUUAAACAAGAUUCUAUUAAAUAGAUCUCUCUCUCUGACCCAGAGCUCCCACACGUGUGUUUAUAAAUUUCCCCAGCCGAAUUCUUUCAUCAGAUACAUACAUAUGAGCCCCAGUCAUGGCACACUUACAUCCAUGGAAAUGCAUCAAACUCCCCAGUUCCCAAAAAGCCCUAUAAGACUUCUGUACAGUUAUGAGUACAGAAAAUUACUCUAAUGAGGAAUCUACUUAAACUUAAUUGUCUCAUUUAAUUGGAUUGUUUAAAUUGCUAAUCAUUUUGUAAGUAUUACUUUAUAAGGUUUUUUUUAGUGGGUAGUUUGCCCUUUUUGUUGUUGCUGGAGGAAUUCAGUAAUAAUUAACUGACCUAGUGUGUAAUUAUACUGCUGAAAAUAAGCUAUGAGACAUUUAAUAAAAGAAGACUAUUAACAGGAUUUGAAUUUAUGACCUUCAAAAUAUGAAGCAAACACUUUAUCCAUGAGGUCACACAAGAUUUCACUACGGUCUGAGAAUUUAUGGUCACUAGAUUAGCCACAGAAAGACUGUUUUUGCUUUUUGGAUGCACUGGGAGCUCACUAAGAAACAGAUUAAAAUAGUAAGUAAUAUAGCAGUGGAAAAAUGCUAAAGAAAGCUUGUUCCUCUUAAACAUCCAGAUCUAUACCUGUGCCACACACUGUGGAAGUCAAAGCUGAUGUUUAUUUUGAGUUUAGUGAAAAGAAAGCUAGAUCCAUACCUCUGUAUGAACAUACAGGUGUUCUGUUUUCAGUAUUUUUAUUCCUGGUGGCUCAAGUACCAAACGAGCACAGCUGUGGGCAUCCUGCCAUGGCUUGGAGGAGGCCAAAGCAUACGGAUAUGUCAGUGGUUAGGGUAUGCAUGACUUAGUGAAAGUUUGCAGUUGUCUAUUUGCAGACAUUCUUUCAUGUUUGGGGAGCUUGCCUACUCUGCUCCUGUGAGUGGUCCAAGGGAGAUGGAGAUACGUGAACACCAACACUCAUAGCAAAGCCAAAGACUUUGGGAAUUGCUGUGUACAGUCAGGUAGCAGAUGUGACAGCACUCAAAGUUUUGGGACCUGAGAAUUUCCCCCUUGGGUUCCUUGUGAAGCACAAGCCUGUAACACCCUUUCCUCAGCUACAAUAGAUGGUGGUGGCAUUUUAAGCUGCAAACUCUGUUGGUGACCGAGUCUUUUUUACGCCCCAUGUACAGGACACAGUUCGAGAUAAGAAAAUUACUAAACACCUUGGCUCUCAGACAGCCAGGCAAUUUGUGCCAUGUUUUCUUUAGCCUUUAGGACAUAAUAUGUUUUACUGAAUCUCUCACAUAGAGUUAUAACACCUUUGCUGCGUUUUCUGUGUAAUAUUUGGUUGUGUGAAACACUGCAUUACAAAUAGGAGCACUACAUUUUUUAAAAGUCAGUGCUCCAGCAGCAUCAGUGUAGGGAAAACAUGACUGUUGUAGUUUCUGUUUAUCAGCAAUCCAGGCAGUUUCCUUGCAAGCUAUCAGCUACUUUGUGUUUUACAGCACAAAGGGAAGCACGUUCUGUGCAAUUGCGAUGUUACCUUGCAGGAGCUGAGAAAGAAUUGCCGUGCUUGUUUCUGAAGUCAAACGGAUCCUUCUCCAAACUUGAGAUGAUGGCUACUGUCGCUUUGGGGCUUCAAAUACUGAUAACUUGUACAUUUGUACAUUGAGACCACAUAGUUACAGAUACAUGGUACAAGGAAAUAAUCUUGCAGCAGAUGCCAAAGAAGCUGAUGUCUCUGAAAAUACUCUAAAGCCAAGUGCAGGCUGGAAAUAUCCCAAUGCUUUCUGCUGGCCAGAGAUCUUUUGCAACACCAAGUAGUCAGGAUCCCAUAGGAUGGGGUCUGGUAUUUGGGUAGAAAGCUCAGAAAGCAAAGGUGAAUGAGGAUACAUUGCGACUGGUAAUAACCGUUCUCAGUGCUUCUCAGGUUUGUUCCCACUCUUCAUCCUGUGUACCUAAGCACAAUAAAACUGAACGUGCCUAAACAUUAAAUGAGAAAUUUGGGCCAGAGGAA